AUCUAGCCCCGAUAGAAACGAUAUCCUUUUGUGGCGGGGUUCCCCGCAAAAGAUAUAGUGAAUAGCGGGACUAAAG
rnacentral:sRNA from 1 species